CCCCUAGAUGUUCUGGGCCGCACGCGCGCUACACUGACCAGUGCAACAAGCAUCCGUCCUUGGCCGACAGGCUCGGGCAAUCUUUGAACGCUGGUCGUGAUGGGGAUAGACUUUUGCAAUUUUUGGUCUUCAACGAGGAAUUCCUAGUAAACGCAAGUCAUCAACUUGCAUUGAUUACGUCCCUGCCCUUUGUACACACCGCCCGUCGCACCUACCGAUUGAAUGGUCCGGUGAAAUCUCGGGACGGCGGCUUGGUCGCUUGCGUCCGACUGCUGAAACUUGAUUAAACCAUAUCAUUUAGAGGAAGGUGAANUCGUAACA
rnacentral:rRNA from 1 species